AUAACACCUGGAAACAGAUGCUAAUACCGGAUAACAACAGAUGAUGCCUAUCAACUGUUUAAAAGAUGGUUCUGCUAUCACUCUUGGAUGGACCUGCGGUGCAUUAGCUAGUUGGUAGGGUAACGGCCUAACAAGGCGAUGAUGCAUAGCCGAGUUGAGAGACUGAUCGGCCACAUUGGGACUGAGACACGGCCCAAACUCCUACGGGAGGCAGCAGCU
rnacentral:rRNA from 1 species